GUGCCGUUGGUCUUUUGAUCGACGGCUUUUCGGGAGUCUAAGAAGCUCCCGGAAUAAGGGCUGGGCAAGUCGGGUGCCAGCCGCCGCGGUAAUACCCGCAGCCCAAGUGGUGGUCGCGAUUAUUGGGCCUAAAGCGCUCGUAGCCGGGCUAGCAAGUCCCUUGUGAAAUCGGACGGCCCAACCGUUCGGCGUGCAAGGGAUACUGCUGGUCUUGAGGCCGAUAGACGUCUGAGGUACUCCGGGGGUAACGGUGAAAUGUUGUAAUCCUCGGGGGACCACCAGUGGCGAAGGCGUCAGACGAGAGCGGACCUGACGGUGAGGGGCGAAGGCUAGGGGAGCGAACGGGAUUAGAUACCCCGGUAGUCCUAGCUGUAAAGCAUGCGGGCCAGGUGUCUGGUGUUCCUCGAGAGCACCAGGUGCCGGAGGGAAGCCGUUAAGCCCGCCGCCUGGGAAGUACGGUCGCAAGGCUGAAACUUAAAGGAAUU
rnacentral:rRNA from 1 species